UUAGCAAAUUUCCAGAAAGAUGUGGGAUGUCGUUUGAUAUUGAUUUCAAUUUUCCUGACGUAGUUGGCGUAGGCGGUUCGGUUCAGCUGCUUAUAUAUUUUUGAGGCGCGAGCAAAAUUUAUUUGAUUAGUGCUGUUUUUUAGUCGAUGCAGUUUUUUAAGGGCCCGUGAUCUUCGACGUUUAGCCAAACGUAGUGCAGAAUUGGUCCAUGGUGGAUGAGCACGAACAUUAAACCGUGGGAUGAAUUGUUCAAACAGUUCAUUCAUUUGAGAAGAAAAUUCAGCCACACUGUCGUUGAUGUCGUCAUAAUCAGCGAUAGAGUCUCAGUUGAUUUGGUUAAGUGCAGAAACGAGAUCAGUGAAAUUAGUUCGUCUUAAAUUAAAAUCUGCUUGACGUGGGGGUUGAGAUGACGGUACACUGUAUUGCGGGAGCGUGAAGUAUAUCUAACAUAUUGUUAUUGUGGUUUAGAACAGUGUUAAGUUGGCGAAGACCUUCAAAGCAUAGUUCGUCGAGUAGAGCUUGACUGGUAGGGGAUAGUCGGUGCAAUGAAUUACAGAAUGCAUUUAUGGUGUCCAUGUUGGCUGAUUGAUCAGGAGGCAAAUAAAAUGAUCCGAUGAUUAGCGAAACAUUAAGAACUUUUACUCGAACCCAAAGGCAUUCAAUUGUAGAUGUGUUUGUCGAGCACAGAGAGGAAGCAUAAUUUGCAUUGAUCGCAACGAGGACACCACCACCUCUACAUUUGUUACUGUUUGCUGCAGAACGAUCCGUACGGAAUGCAUUAAAGCGGUUGUUAUCAAACAAAAGCUCAGAUGGAAAGCUGUCAUCUAGCCACGUUUCCGUAAGAACGAUAACAUCCCAGUCGGCGAUUGCAGUGUUAGCAAAACAUUCUGAGGUUUUAGUACGUAAGCCUCUCACGUUUUGAUAAAAGAUAUUGAAUG